CCUGUCUUUCUGUUUACUUCGACCACGCGUACAUGCAUAAUAACAAGAUUGCUGUGAUAUUCGGAGUGUACCUGAAUGCACCUCUCGGCAGCGGCGAGAAGGAGGAAGUGUCAUACGGAAGACAAAUGGAGGGAUGUGUUUGAGAACAAGGUGGGAAUAUCUGCCGUACCUCAAUGAGAGCUUGCAGGUUGUCGGGGCUGACGCAAGUGAAGUUCAUCAGAAAGUCGCGACACGUGCCCUGCAGCUGCAUGUGCUUGCCUUCUUCUCGCUGCGCCUCCAAGGCCCGGAACACCACGGCGCCCAGCACCAGGUACAGAAGCACCCCGGUGAGGAUGGCGAGCAGGGUGGAGCAACGCAUGGCCGCACCUCCGCUCACUUCAAACGUGGGCGGCUGUUUUGCCCUGACGGCGUCCGUGCUGUCUUGGCCCGGAUCCCAGCUGAAACAUCCCAGGAAACUCAAAUGUGUCACGCACGCGUCUGCAACGUGUUCACAAACUACACACAAGGCAGGUGCUGCUGCAGCUGCACAAACCUGCUCUUGCGGCCCCGCCUUCGCCUUUUCCAGUCUUUUUUUUCACCGGGUCUGAGGAUGGAGUCCCUGGAUCCGUAACCACUGGGGAGCCCAUCCACAUCACACUCCGUGGGAUCUGUGGGAGGUGACACUGCGGACACACAGGGACGCGUUCAUGCUUCAUCAGUGCACGGUGGCAUGGCUCAGGUCGACUCCCCACUUAAGGGUUUUCUGAAGUGAAAUUGACUGAUUAUGGGAUCCCAGUGGGGCACGAUUGUAAGGUUCACCCCAAAGAUGUCAAGUUGUGUGCAGGAUAAAUUCCGACAUGCUCGCCUACUCUGUUGUGAUUGGUCAGGCUGGAUAUAUGGUACAACUGAAUGAAUGUUGUUAAGAAUCCAGAGUCAAACAUUAAUGCAUUAGUCUCUAGCUCCACAGAAAACAAACAAUAAACCUCCAGUUGUUGCUAGAUACAUAUUUCUAACACCGGAAAAAAAACACUUUUUGGUUGCAUUUAAA